AACGAACGCUGGCGGCAGGCUUAACACGUGCAAGUCGAACGCACUCUUCGGAGUGAGUGGCAGACGGGUGAGUAACACGUGGGGAUCUGCCCGAUGGUACGGAAUAACACAGAGAAAUUUGUGCUAAUACCGUAUGAGCCCGCAAGGGGAAAGAUUUAUCGCCAUCGGAUGAACCCGCGUCGGAUUAGCUAGUUGGUGUGGUAAAGGCGCACCAAGGCGACGAUCCGUAGCUGGUCUGAGAGGAUGAUCAGCCACACUGGGACUGAGACACGGCCCAGACUCCUACGGGAGGCAGCAGUGGGGAAUAUUGGACAAUGGGCGCAAGCCUGAUCCAGCCAUGCCGCGUGAGUGAUGAAGGCCUUAGGGUUGUAAAGCUCUUUCGCCGACGAAGAUAAUGACGGUAGUCGGAGAAGAAGCCCCGGCUAACUUCGUGCCAGCCGCCGCAGUAAUAC
rnacentral:rRNA from 1 species